rnacentral:tRNA from 1 species
AAGAUAUUAGUAAAAUUUACGUACUUUUGUCAAAGGUAAAUUACAGGUGAAACUCCUGUAUAUCUUU